rnacentral:rRNA from 1 species
AUGCGGGUAAGCAGCACCCCCUCCCCCUUUGUUAGCCCGUUAAGCUAGGUGUAGGAUCGAUUUCCCACUGAACGAACCGUCGAUGUCGACUAGGUUAUGGACGCACGGAUGAGGCUGAUAAUCCAAGCAGCAACACUGAUUAGUGUGAUUCAGGCAUGGGUCAUGUUCAUGCACCAGAGAGCUGUUCAUCGUGCUGGGAGACCUUUGAUCUGCUAUGGUCCAUUGUUUCCCCGGGAAUAGGAGAGGCUAAAUCUGAACUACAUCUACAACUGCAAUGACGUCGAGGCUCUGUGGAUGCUUAGAAUGAAAAGAGCACCAUUUGCCAGGCUUGUCGAGACCUUCAGGAGCAUGGGCCUGUUACAAGAUAGCAUCAACACCAGUGUCGAAGAGCAAGUGGCCAUGUUCCUGCAUGUUGUUGGCCAUAACCAGAGGUUCAGGGUCAUUCACAACACGUUCAGGAGAUCAAUGGAGACCAUCUCUAGGUAGUUCAAGCAAGUGUUUGCUGUUGGGGAGCUUAGAGGAGAGAUGAUCAGGAGACCAUCUGGCCAGACUCCACCCAAGAUUCGCGGAAGCCCAAGAUGGUAUCCAUACUUUAAGGUGAGCAUUGACAAUAUACACUUUUCAUGGCUUGAUAUGCUUGUAUUGUUCAAGUUGAGCACUAACAUAGGCUAG